GUCACUGCUAUUGGGAUUCGAUUAAGCCAUGCGAGUCGAGAGGGUUCGGCCCUCGGCUGACUGCUCAGUAACACGUGGAUAAUCUGCCCUAAGGUGGAGGAUAACCUCGGGAAACUGAGAAUAAUACUCCAUAGGUCUAAGAUGCUGGAAUGCAUUUAGACUGAAAACUCCGGUGCCUUAGGAUGAGUCUGCGGACUAUCAGGUUGUAGUCAGGGUAAUGACCUGACUAGCCUACGACGGAUAUGGGUUGUGGGAGCAAUAACCCAGAGAUGAUAUCUGAGACACGAUAUCAGGCCCUACGGGGCGCAGCAGGCGCGAAAACUUCACACUGUGCGAAAGCGCGAUGAGGGAAUCCCAAGUGCAUGCACGUAAGUGUAUGCUGUUUCUUUGUUUAAAAAGCAUAGAGAGUAAGGGCUGGGUAAGACGGGUGCCAGCCGCCGCGGUAAUACCUGCAGCUCAAGUGGUGAUCGUUAUUAUUGGGCCUAAAACGUCCGUAGCCGGUCUUAUAAAUGCCUGGGUAAAUCGUGCCGCUCAACGGUACGACUUCCGGGUAGACUGUAAGACUUGGGACCGGGAGAGGCUAGAGGUACUCCUGGGGUAGAGGUGAAAUUCUGUAAUCCUGGGGGGACCACCAGUGGCGAAGGCGUCUAGCUAGAACGGGUCUGACGGUGAGGGACGAAGCCCUGGGGCGCGAACCGGAUUAGAUACCCGGGUAGUCCAGGGUGUAAACGCUGCUGCUUGAUGUUAGUCGGGCUCCGAGCCCGAUUAGUGUCGGAGAGAAGUUGUUAAGCAAGCUGCCUGGGAAGUACGGUCGCAAGACUGAAACUUAAAGGAAUUGGCGGGGGAGCAUAGCAACAGGUGGAGCGUGCGGUUUAAUUGGAUUCAACGCCGGA
rnacentral:rRNA from 1 species